CUCAUUAAAUCAGUUAUAGUUUAUUUGAUGGUCUCUUUUUGUCUUUUUUUACCUACUUGGAUAACCGUGGUAAUUCUAGAGCUAAUACAUGCGCAAGGUCCCGAGCGCGGGGGGUGGGGGCGUUCACGGCUCCAUUCUCGCGUGCGCAGAGGGAUGUAUUUAUUUAGGUUAAAAACCAAGCGCAGUCAGCAAUGGCUACAAACUCCCCUGGUGAUCCAUAGUAACUCUUUCGGAUCGCAUUCAUG
rnacentral:rRNA from 1 species